CGUUAAUCAACAGUUUAAUUUUGCACAGCACAGAAUUGCAAAUUGACUUUUUUUUUUACCUCUGCUUCAGUGCUGCUCCUCACCUAGAGAAAAAAAUGAUCUUUUAGCUGUAAUUCCAUUUGACUCUCUUAAGCGUGGAUUAAUGCAUGCAGAUAUGUUGAACAUCAUUCAGAUGAAGGGGGUAGGAGAAGAUACAAAUACUGGGUAUUGUCCAGAAAACAAAAUAGUGAUCCAACUAAUUGCAUUUUAUAAUGAUGCGAAUUGUUAG